CACGUAGGGCGCAAGCGUUGUCCGGAAUUAUUGGGCGUAAAGAGCUCGUAGGCGGUCUGUUGCGUCUGCUGUGAAAACCCGGGGCUUAACCCCUGGCUUGCAGUGGAUACGGACAGACUAGAGGUAGGUAGGGGAGAAUGUAAUUCCCGGUGUAGCGGUGAAAUGCGCAGAUAUCGGGAGGAACACCGGUGGCGAAGGCGGUUCUCUGGGCCUUACCUGACGCUGAGGAGCGAAAGCGUGGGGAGCGAACAGG
rnacentral:rRNA from 1 species